GUGUGACAUAGUGGUUAGAGUGUUGGGUUAGGAGCUGAGAGACCAAGGUUCAAAUCCCUGCUUAGCCA